rnacentral:misc_RNA from 1 species
GUUAUAGUUGCCAAUAGGCCUCAGAGAUACUUUAAAAACAAGAAUUUAAAACCUCCGACCCUCCAGAGAGUGCCGAAGCAACGCCCGCCGAGCUUCCGAAAAGGUCCGACGGGGAGAGGUAAGGUUCACAUGGGUUGGGAGUUUUUACACUCUUUAAUGAUCCCUCCGCUGGUUCACCAACGGAGA